rnacentral:lncRNA from 1 species
AGUACAGGCUUUGGUCCACAGAGACAACAAUACUUUCAAUACUCUUUUGUUCUGCCCCAGAGGAGCUCAACACAGAAUUGCCUAGAACAAGAAACUGGUGAGAGAAGCUGCAGCCUGUUGAGACUCCACAAGACUGAAGAUAUGAAAAGAGGAAAUAUGCAUGAAUGCCCGCACGGAGAACCACCCCCACCUGCUGCUCCCGCUCUAAUGAUCACGCCCAUUAUCAACUGGGGGAUGGCUCUGUGCCUUGUCCUUGCAUUACAUGGACCAAGAACACUUCACAGGACUCAGAGAGUAACACUGAAGAAUGCAGUUUACUUACAUCUUUUUCUGUUUGACAGAAGACAGUUAUUAGUUACCCUUGGGACAUCAAAAUGACCAAGGCAGUGUCUGCUAAGUAUUUGCUGAGACUCUGCUAUGAUUCUUUCAAGUCUAAAGACAGUUAUCUGAAUGAUAUCCCCGUGACAGUGGACUCCUGCACAUUCACAGUCCUGGAAGGAGCCUGUCCACAUUGGCAUUCUGGAAGUCCAUAAAAGACAAACGCAUAUGCAGUCCCCGAGAAAGCAUUGUUGUAAACAAAUCUGCACUAGAUGGAAACUCUGUUAUGUGGUGCCGGCAUGCAUGGAAGAGAACCCGAAAGGAAGAAGCUAUACGACUGGGGACACAUGUCUUAGAAGCACACUCAUUAGAUAAAGUGUCGCAUACUCUUUGAUAAGUUGCCUGUAAGAGAUUGGGAGCCGAGGGCCUGAGGGUGAAGCCUCGUUUGUGCAGGUGACUGUGGGACUCUGGUGUAAGUAACGCUGGGCCCACCCUGGUAAUGAAGGAAGACCCAGGCCCAGGCAGGGGCGGUGUCACAGGCACAGGGGCUCGCACCCUGGGCACUGACGGUGGCUGUCGCACCAGGGCCGCUCCUUGCAGAAACCUCACUGAGCCUGUGCCUGUUGAGUAGCUUCAUGAGGAGCGGAUAUCAGGCAGAGAAAGCCCGGGCAAGAGAGUGACACACGGGGCUUCUGCCCAGAACACGUGCGCCCACAAUCCCGGGAGCUG